UACGUAGGGUCCGAGCGUUGUCCGGAAUUACUGGGCGUAAAGAGCUCGUAGGUGGUUUGUCGCGUUGUCCGUGAAAACUCACAGCUCAACUGUGGGCGUGCGGGCGAUACGGGCAGACUGGAGUACUGCAGGGGAGACUGGAAUUCCUGGUGUAGCGGUGGAAUGCGCAGAUAUCAGGAGGAACACCGGUGGCGAAGGCGGGUCUCUGGGCAGUAACUGACGCUGGGGAGCGAAAGCGUGGGGAGCGAACAGG
rnacentral:rRNA from 1 species